CCUACGGGGGGCUGCAGUGGGGAAUAUUGGACAAUGGGCGCAAGCCUGAUCCAGCAAUGCCGCGUGUGUGAAGAAGGCCUGCGGGUUGUAAAGCACUUUAAGCAGGAAAGAAGGGGUGAAAGUUAAUACCUUUCAUCAUUGACGUUACCUGCAGAAUAAGCACCGGCUAACUCCGUGCCAGCAGCCGCGGUAAUACGGAGGGUGCGGGCGGUAGGCGGAAUUACUGGGCGGUCGUGACGCGUAUGCGGUUAACCUGGGAACUGCGGUGGAUACUGUCGGGCUAGAGUGUGGUAGAGGGGAGUGGAAUUUCCGGUGUAGCAGUGAAAUGCGUAGAGAUCGGAAGGAACACCAGUGGCGAAGGCGGCUCCCUGGACUAACACUGACGCUGAGGUGCGAAAGCGUGGGGAGCAAACAGGAUUAGAUACCCCUGUAGUC
rnacentral:rRNA from 1 species